rnacentral:rRNA from 1 species
UAUCUGGUUGAUCCUGCCAGUAGUCAUAUGCUUGUCUCAAAGAUUAAGCCAUGCACGUGUGGGAAUAUGUCUUUAAAUGACGAAUCUGUGAACGGCUCAUUAAAAAAGUUUUUGUCUCUUCGGUGAUGGAAUUUACAUGGAUAACCGUGGUAAUUCUACAGCUAAUACAUGCCCCUAGACUCGACUUCGUGGAAGGGUCGUGAUUGUUAGAUACAGAACCAACCCAAGCUUGCUUGGUUUUUUGGUGACUUAUAAUAAUCGAACGAAUCGCAUAGCAACCGCUGGCGAUAGACCGAAUGAGAUUCUUACCUAUCAGCUUCCGACGGUAGUGUAUUGGACUACCGUGGCCAUGACGGGUAACGGAGAAUUAGGGUUUGAUUCCGGAGAGGGAGCCCGAGAAACGGCUACCACAUCUAAGGAAGGCAGCAGGCGCGUAAAUUACCCAAUCCUGACAUAGGGAGGUAGUGACAAGAAAUAACAGUACGGGGCAUUAUUGUCUUGUAACUGGAAUGGAUAGAAUUUAAAUCUCUUUAUGAGUAUCUAUUGUAGGGCAAGUCUGGUGCCAGCAGCCCGCGGUAAUUCAGCUACAAAAGCGUAUAUUAAAGUUGUUGCGGUUAAAAGCUCGUAGUGGAUUUCUGUUGGGGACGACCUUUCCGCUCUCUGGUGGAUUCCUGGCUCGCCUUUGCAUCUAUGUUGAAACGUUCUUGACUUCAUUG